UUAAUUGAAGAGUUUGAUCAUGGCUCAGAUUGAACGCUGGCGGCAGGCCUAACACAUGCAAGUCGAGCGGUAACAGAAAGUAGCUUGCUACUUUGCUGACGAGCGGCGGACGGGUGAGUAAUGCUUGGGAACAUGCCUUGAGGUGGGGGACAACAGUUGGAAACGACUGCUAAUACCGCAUAAUGUCUACGGACCAAAGGGGGCUUCGGCUCUCGCCUUUAGAUUGGCCCAAGUGGGAUUAGCUAGUUGGUGAGGUAAUGGCUCACCAAGGCGACGAUCCCUAGCUGGUUUGAGAGGAUGAUCAGCCACACUGGGACUGAGACACGGCCCAGACUCCUACGGGAGGCAGCAGUGGGGAAUAUUGCACAAUGGGCGCAAGCCUGAUGCAGCCAUGCCGCGUGUGUGAAGAAGGCCUUCGGGUUGUAAAGCACUUUCAGUCAGGAGGAAAGGUUAGUAGUUAAUACCUGCUAGCUGUGACGUUACUGACAGAAGAAGCACCGGCUAACUCCGUGCCAGCAGCCGCGGUAAUACGGAGGGUGCGAGCGUUAAUCGGAAUUACUGGGCGUAAAGCGUACGCAGGCGG
rnacentral:rRNA from 1 species